AGACCACCCACCAAUCUGCCAUAUUCUGCUGUCUCUGCUGUACCAUUUAGGAGCUGUACCAUUGAGUUCCCCACGGAGACAUGUUCAAGUGUCCAGGGCAGAAGGAAUAUUUCUGUACCUUAGCUGUCUGCUGCAGUGCUUGUGAAAAGCAUCCUGAACAGGGAUAUGGUGGCCCACGUGUCUGGAUGUUCUUAUGCAGCUGGAAAAUGGAAGAAUAAGGGCUAAGAACAUCUGACAGAGGAAAGGCAAAGCACCAAGCUUGCCUGGAUACCAGCUGAGGAUUAGUAGUGGUUGCUCCUCUAAUGAAUUUGUCUGUCAAAGUCUGUGGCAGUAAGGAAGGAAAAGCAUGAAAGUGAAAUGAAGCUUGCUGGCACAGACUUCACUUUUGGUAAUUGGUGCUGAAGGGAAGACUAGAGGGAAGACUCUUGAACUUUGAGGUAGAAAUAGGUAAACUGUCUUCUCUAAGAAGCUUCUUUAAGAUUAGCCGACUGGAUUGCAAAGAGGUGGAGACAAGGGGUGUUGCAGAAAUUUCUUUGGCUAUAUUGUAGGAAAGAGUUCUUAUGUUGAAUGUGAGAGAGCUGAAAAUAAAACUGGAAGCUGGGAAAGCAUGACUGUCAGCUGGCAGUGUAAAAUUUGCUUUACUUAGUAUACAGGAUCUGUCUGUUUUGUAGGUUUCACAUGAAGGGUUGAAUUUCAAAGACAAAAGGCAGUGCUUGUCUAGUGUUUAAGAUCUGUGUCCAGCAAAGGCCUAAU